CAGCAGCCGCGGGAAUACAGAGGGUGCGAGCGUUAAUCGGAUUUACUGGGCGUAAAGCGUGCGUAGGCGGCUUCUUAAGUCGGAUGUGAAAUCCCUGAGCUUAACUUAGGAAUUGCAUUCGAUACUGGGAAGCUAGAGUAUGGGAGAGGAUGGUAGAAUUCCAGGUGUAGCGGUGAAAUGCGUAGAGAUCUGGAGAAAUACCGAUGGCGAAGGCAGCCAUCUGGCCUAAUACUGACGCUGAGGUACGAAAGCAUGGGGAGCAAACAGGAUUAGAUACCCCGGUAGUCCCUGUCUCUUAUAC
rnacentral:rRNA from 1 species